rnacentral:rRNA from 1 species
UACGGAAGGCAGCAGUGGGGAAUAUUGGACAAUGGGCGAAAGCCUGAUCCAGCCAUGCCGCAUGAGUGAAGAAGGCCUUCGGGUUGUAAAGCUCUUUUAGUGAGAAAGAUAAUGACGGUACUCACAGAAGAAGUCCUGGCUAACUCCGUGCCAGCAGCCGCGGUAAUACGGAGAGGGCUAGCGUUAUUCGGAAUUAUUGGGCGUAAAGAGCGCGUAGGCUGAUUAGUAAGUUAAAAGUGAAAUCCCAAAGCUUAACUUUGGAAUUGCUUUUUAAAACUGCUAGUCUAGAGAUUGAAAGAGGAUAGAGGAAUUCCUAGUGUAGAGGUGAAAUUCGUAAAUAUUAGGAGAAACACCAGUGGCGAAGGCGUCUAUCUGGUUCAAAUCUGACGCUGAGGCGCGAAGGGCGUGGGGAGCGAAACAGGGAUUAGAUA